UGUUACAAGAAAAGUAAUAAAAUUUCUUGUCAAGAAAAAAAAAAAAAAAAGUAAUAAAAUAUGCCUAAAAUUGUCAAAUUUAUUUAUGUUAUGAUUAUCAUUAUUUCUCUCUUUCUAGUUGCUACGAAUGAUGAAGAGGACUGUUUUGUUGAUGCUGAUUGUGUAAAUCUAAUUUUAUGCGACUUUGAUGAGAAACCGAAGUGUAUAAUAAACAUCUGUCAAUGCUUUCCAUGGACCGUGAUUCACUGAAGUCAGAAAAAUAACGCAGUCACAAUUCAAAUAAUGUAUUGCCAUCCGAUCAAAUUAAGGGUCCAGAUUCAUUUUCUCUAAUUUUCCACUUUCAUCCCAAAACACAGGAGGUUAUGGAAAAGGCAAAACCACCUUCAAUUUUUAAUAUGAAAAGGGAGGCUUUCAAUUUUUAAUACCCCGUGUUGUAGGCUGAAAGUGGAAAAUUAAAGAAGGUAAAUUAGGACCCUUGAUUUGAUCAGAUGGUUUUGUAUUGUUUAACUGUGUGACUGCGUCAUUUUAAUGACUGCAGUGAAUCACAUUUCGCUUUCCAUUGCGGUUUCUAUGAUAUUAUUAUGAGCAGCUUCAUUGAUGCAUUUAGUGCUAGACCCAAGAAAGUCAGUGAAUUCUCUGUUAGAAUAUUUUGCAGCCACCUAAUAAUAUGAAAUUUUGCACUUUUUUUAAUUUCAAGAACCUUAUAAUUAUCUCUUUUGUACUCUAAGAUAAUGGUAAUGAAAUCAAACAAGACAUCAAUAAAUAUUAUUUAAAUUGUCUUAUUAUCUCUUUAUUUUUGAGAUAUCGACAUUCUCUUUAAUUCAUACAUAUUAAAUUUUCUUUCAUACUCUACCCCUUAAUAUACUUUUUUUUAGAAGGCUAAUAGAAAGGUUAGGUAUUCGAGAGACUUUGAAGCAUCCAACUAGGUUGGCACCCAACAGAAGCUCACAUCCUUUAUCGCCUUUCCAAUACGUAAUAUUAUUAAAAAAAGGAAAAAAUACUUACAAGAGGGGGACUAGGCCAAAACCCUCGAAGGAAAUAGACAACAAUGUACAAAAGAAAAAGGACCAGGGAAGGCUAAGGAAAGCUAUAGCUAGGUAGCCCAUUCUUGUCCCCUAGCAAAAUCCGCCAACAAAAAAGAAGGCAAAAUGAUGUACCAAGUAGUGUCUAUCAACGCAUGCCCCAAAGUUGCGAACUUGUCAACACAACCGUUUUCUUCCCAGAAAAUAUGUGAACAAAUAACCAUCAGACCACGGUGUGUGCAGUUAUGCCAACGGUUCCGUAAAUGAAUGUAAAUAAGAGAGGGAUUGUUGAAAGCAUGAACCGCACUGGAAGAGUUACUUUCAAGCUAUAAACGAGUCCAAUUAUUCGCAGCUGCAUACUCCAUAGCCAAAAUGAGACCCAAAAGCUCCUCCUGAAAAACAGAACCCUUUAUCAUACUUUAGAUAUGUUUAAAAUUAGUUUAUUUUACUCUAUCCUAUAAUUUAUAUCUAUGUCCAAACUGCUUCACUAUAUUUCUUUUACAUUUUAUUUUGGCUAAAUUACACAAAGGGUUCUUUAGGUUUGAGGUUUGUAAUUUAGAAGGAUUAAACUUUUAAACAAAUUAACAAAAUUUUUUUGAUGGAUAGUUUUAGUAACAACUUUAGAAACUUGCAUUUUUGGAUGGUUUUUAGACGGUUUAGAGACUUGUGAAACUUAUAAUUUUGCAAGUUAAUUUAGUAACACGAUUCUGUCUCUGCCUAAAAUGUUUCUGAGCUCUACUUGUCUUUAACACUUGCAACUCACUUAUAUUUCCUCUCUCACUGCAUUUCCUAAAACGUGGAGCAAUUGCACAUCACUUGUGGAUUUGUACUUAGAAAAUUGCUGUGAUGGAAGAGAUGAAUUUCCCUUCUCUCUUAAGCUAUUGAACAUUAAUGGAAGCCGCUAUUAACAGCAAGAUAUGCCAAUCGGAGAAGUCGUCAUGUGUCCAAGAUCGCUCACAUGCCUGUCAUAAAAAUAAAUUAUGAAGUGAUAAUAUGAGCCAUGGCAAAGGAAAUGAAGAAUCACACUUCCAUUUCAGGAAGAAAUUACUCAAGCAGCAAUUGGAGUAAUCUAGAGUGCAUUUAUAUUGGAAUCAAAGCUUAACGUGCAAGGUUUGAUGAGGGGAUUUAACAACCAAGUUAGAGAAACAAAUUACUACUCUAGUUUAACACAAAUGUUCACCAAUAAAUAUUUUAGAAAUCUUUCUUGCUAAGUAUAUUCUAAUAUUGAUAAAAAUUGCAUGCUUGCUAGCAAUACUUUCUUUCCAUUUUUCUUUACUGUGGUCAAUCAUGAAUACGAGUUUGAUUCUUGUAAGCAAUAGUUUCAACAUUUCUUGUGUCUCAAAGGUGAGGAAUUGCAGAAAACAAAGCGAGCACAAAAAUAGCGAGCUUUCUUAUGAGGUUUUCCUCUUCGAAAUAUUGAAGCUGGUUGGAGUAUAAAGAUGAAUGAUUGCUGAAAUGAAAUAGUAGUGGGAGUAAAAAUAAUCCAUAGCACAAAAAUCGAAAGGACAAUCCAAGCCAAAAAUUAGGAGGUGCAGGUCAGCAGCGGUCUGUUUGGAUUGAGGGUUUAUGAGGGA